AACCUGCGGAAGGAUCAUAG
rnacentral:rRNA from 1 species